GUCUAUAGCUAUACCACCCUAAAUGUCCAGAUCUACUCUGAUUUUGGAAGCUAACUGUGCUUGGGCCUAGUUAGUAGUUGGAUAGGAGCCUGCCUAGGAAUACCAGGUGCUGUAAGUA
rnacentral:rRNA from 1 species